rnacentral:rRNA from 1 species
AUUGAACGCUGGCGGCAGGCUUAACACAUGCAAGUCGAGCGGGGGAGGUUGCUUCGGUAACUGACCUAGCGGCGGACGGGUGAGUAAUACUUAGGAAUCUGCCUAUUAAUGGGGGACAACAUCUCGAAAGGGAUGCUAAUACCGCAUACGCCCUACGGGGGAAAGCAGGGGAUCACUUGUGACCUUGCGAUAAUAGAUGAGGCUAAGUCGGAUUAGCUAGUUGGUGGGGUAAAGGCCUACCAAGGCGACGAUCUGUAGCGGGUCUGAGAGGAUGAUCCGCCACACUGGGACUGAGACACGGCCCAGACUCCUACGGGAGGCAGCAGUGGGGAAUAUUGGACAAUGGGGGGAACCCUGAUCCAGCCAUGCCGCGUGUGUGAAGAAGGCCUUAUGGUUGUAAAGCACUUUAAGCGAGGAGGAGGCUCUUUUGGUUAAUACCCAAGAUGAGUGGACGUUACUCGCAGAAUAAGCACCGGCUAACUCUGUGCCAGCCGCCGCCGUAACAC